rnacentral:rRNA from 1 species
UACGUAGGAUCCAAGCGUUGUCCGGAUUUACUGGGUGUAAAGGGUGCGCAGGCGGACCUAUAAGUCAGAGGUGAAAUCUCACUGCUCAACAGUGAAACUGCCUUUGAUACUGUAGGUCUUGAAUUAGGGAGAGAUUCGUGGAAUUCCGAGUGUAGCAGUGAAAUGUGUAGAUAUUCGGAAGAACACCAGAGGCGAAGGCAGCGAAUUGGCCCUAUAUUGACGCUCAGGCACGAAAGCAUGGGGAUCAAACAGG